AGGAAGUCCUUGAAGUCACCUCGGUCCAUCUUGCUACCAGUGGGUUCAAGAGCCAGGUGGAGCUAUUCUGUGAAUGAGCCAGCAACUGCUGAUCAGCUUAGCCUCCAGCACCCAUGCAGUAUGAGAGCGGCAUUGCAGUUUCUAGCGCUGUUUCCCUUCACAUCUGUAGUGGGGAUUUUGUUCAUUUGUUGUUUUUUGACACAGGGUCUGUAGCUCAGUCUGGCCUUAAACUAGCAGCCAUCUUGCUGCCUUUAGUUGCUGGGCCUACAAGGUUCGCACCACUACUCCUGGCUUCAUGGAGUCUCAAAGAAGUUAACAUUCCACGAAAGACUUCCGACUCAGGAAGUAGAGUGCAAGUAUUGUCCUUAUGAGCCUGGGAGAACUCCCCCACCCCAUCCCACCCCCAAGAACAGAUAAAAGUGCAGGAACUUGGGUGGCCUCUGUGCAACCCUUGUGUCACAGCUCCCAGCUGUGUUCAGAUAAGAAUCACCCAUUAGGGCCACAUCACAUCAUCUUCCCCACAGAAAUCCGGAAGCCUGGCUUUGCAUGUGAGAAAUAGGCAUUUUUAAGCACUUGCCUUCUUUCCAUCAGCCCCAGCUAGCAAUCAGAUCGGGAAUGGGAGAGGCCUCUUGGCUUUAGCUUAAGCAAGCGGGACACCAGUGAUUGACAUUGCCACUUCUUGACCCUAGAGCCCAAACACUUCUCCCUCUCCGCAGUUUACUCUUCUCACCCCAUCUAGAGACUAGAAGUCCCCCUGCCCUUUUUGCCCUAGGACCCUCAGUAGUUGGAGAUGGUAGCAUCUGGGAAUGGGGAGGAUUUCCCUAGCAUGCUCGAGGGUGAGUGCUCAGAGGGUCGAGUGGUUGGGUGGAGACAGCCCUGGGGCAGGGAAGAUGGUCUCUCCACUGUAGAAAGUAGAGUAGGAUCGUGGUCAGACUUAAUUUGAGGCAUCCAGUGACUCAUACAAAUCACCAAGGAAGAUUUCAAAUGCAAAGUAAAGGUGGGAAAUAAAACAGACCCAUGAAUUAAUCAAGUCAAAGUGAUGUUGCACACAAUGCAGAGAAACCAAGAAGGGGGAGGGUUAAUGUAUUAAAUGUGCUAUUGAGAAGUUAAUUUUAUUAAAAGUAUUAUUACUU
rnacentral:lncRNA from 1 species